UACGGGGGGGGCAAGCGUUGUUCGGAAUUACUGGGCGUAAAGGGCUCGUAGGCGGCCAACUAAGUCGGACGUGAAAUCCCUCGGCUUAACCGGGGAACUGCAUCUGAUACUGGAUGGCUUGAGUUCGGGAGAGGGAUGCGGAAUUCCAGGUGUAGCGGUGAAAUGCGUAGAUAUCUGGAGGAACACCGGUGGCGAAGGCGGCAUCCUGGACCGACACUGACGCUGAGGAGCGAAAGCCAGGGGAGCAAACGGG
rnacentral:rRNA from 1 species